AAUCAGACCAAGCAGAAAAUUGUUAGGGCAAUCUGAACUGAGCCAAAAACUACUAAGGAAAAAUAGUUAUUGCUCGCCUGGCAAAUUGAAUAUUGCCAAUCUUGAACAAUAAAAACUUCAAUAUCUGAUAAAGUCAGAAUAUCAGGAGAGAAUUUUAAGAUAUCCAUCUCAUAUCUGAGAUUUAUGUAACUCAAACAAAUAGUUACAACAUAUAUUUAAUUUUUAAUUUAUAAAUAUAAGAAAUAGGCAUUAAACAGGUACACUUAAUGGCUGGUUGUAAGGCAUUGACUUCACUAUUUCUUUGUCUACAGGCUCCACUUGAAACGCACGUAGCACGCGGACUAUUCUACACAGGCUUAUAGUAGCAUCAAUAUGUAUAAUAAAGAAUAGAGGAAGAAACGACCCGUAUUCCAUUACGCUUACAUUCGCUCAAAUUUUUAUUAUCCCUUCUUGCUCCUAAUCCUCUUUGUUUUAUUAAAAACUAUAGUCAACUAGAUCCGGCUGGCAAUGUUUUUUCCUCUUCUAUUUUUUUUCCCUUUUAAAUGUUAAUACCAGACGGUAAAGACAGAUGUAAGCAGUUGUAAAUGCUAGAUGCUAAAUGCAAUAAGAGCUAUUGUUAUGCUGAGGAGACCUAUGUAUUACUGAUGGUGAGCAUGUGUAACCAUGUGUCUAUGAUGGAAUAUCAUAGAAUAUGCUGAGGUAGAGAUAUAUUGCAAGAACAACUCCAAUCGACCCUUUAAAAACGCUGUGCAAUGCCUGCGGUGUAAGGUAUAAAUUGGGUCGGCUGGUUCCCGAAUAUAGACCCGCGGCUAGCCCGACGUUCGUGCUGACUCAACACUCAAACUCUCACCGGAAGGUAUUGGAGCUCCGGAGGCAGAAGGAGAUGUUGAAGUAGCAGCAGGACGAACAGCAUGUCUACCAUCCUCACCACCGCCCCAAGCAGGACUUUGCAGUAUGCCAACGAUUUGCAAUCUGAAUCUUGUGAAUUAGGUAAGUACACAAUUCUCAAGAAAAAUUUGAAUGUGUGUGUGAGCGAGAGAGAGAGAUGAGUAACGCUUGUGGGAUGGGAAAGGGAAAUGAGGGCUAAGCCAAAAUUCUCUCUUCAAAUCCCUUGCCUCUCUCCAUAUAAAAAGUGUCUGGUCGCAUGGAAACCAAGGGAGAGAAGAAGAAGAAGAAGAAGAAGAAGAAGAGCUUGCAGUUCAGUCACAUUGGUUACUAUAGGUGAAGGUGAGUGAUCUUUAUUUAUCUUUUUAGGGACAAUCAAUCGAUUGGUUCUGGCUGGGAGAACUUCCAACGAUGAUUAAGUAUUUGUAAUACUUCAAUCAUGCGCAUGCUUUUAGUUCCUAUGAUCCAACCAGCGAUUUUUGUGUUUUCUCUCUGUUUGUUAAGAGCGAGUUUCCUUCAAUUGCCGAUGAUGUGUGGCUUCCCUCUACGCAUUUCAGACAGAGGGGAGCUUCCCUUCCCUAUCUAGUUGUGGGUUUAACCCUCCUCUCAUUAGGGUAGGGACUAUAAAUAGUUUUUGUGUUUAUUUCUGUAAUAGGUCUUUAAAUAUACAUUGAGAGGGCUUCUAUUCGACCCGUUAAAGAUUCUUUUUGGUAUUUAAUUGUCUGUGUCAGGUUACAAUUCCAGCGGUGCAUGGUGAGUAAAAGUACCGAUGGUGGGUUGUGGAGUGCUGAUCAGGAGACUGGCCCAGACAGCGUAGAUGAGAUGCCGAAGAACACCGUUGUUGUCUUUGUCCUCUGCUCCAAUCGAUGUUCUACACCACUGGAAGAUCUAGCUUUUUUUUUUUUUUUUAUGUUGUUUGGACUGCCUGGAAGCCUUGGGAUGUGUCUAAGAAGAUCUUCGAGCAUGGUCCUAUAGAAAGAGCUUGCAUGGUUGAUGUCUUGUUCGAUUUUUUUUUUCUAUGGUGCUAAUCUAAGUCUUGAGUAGUUCCAAGGAUGGAAAGGUUGGUCGACAAUGGCAGCGCUGAAGGUUUGGUGUUUCUGUGGAGUGCCGAGUCAAAGUCUAAUGGGUUGAAAAUCCAAUGUGCCUGGGAUUUGUCUUUUGGGCUUUAGAUCCUAUUAGGAUGCUGAGUUUGGAUUCAAUCAGACUUUUUUUUAACUUGGACCCUUUGUGCUAUUUGUUUCAUGUUAGAUUAAGGUUGGAGGCUCGGGCUCAAUUUUUAUGUAACCCAAGACCCUAAAUGAAUACUCUAUGUAAUUAAACCUAGGCCUUUGUUAUGCAAUAAACUCUUAUCAAUUGAUAAACAAAAAAAUCAGCGAUUUUAUUUUUCUUUAA